GAUUUCGGGAUUUAAAGAAAGCGGAGAAGGACUCACAUGCAGAGUGGGCAUGCAGGUUGCAACGGGCAGCUCUCGGGUGGGUACAAGCUAGCAAGGCACGGUCCAUGGAGGACGUGAUACAAAUGCUACUAAUGGAACAAUUUUAUGAUGGGGUGACAGCAGAUGUCCAGGAGUGGGUAAGGGACCGGAACCCUACAUCCCUCACAGAAGCUGCAAGGAAGGCAGAUGAUUAUCUGGACGCACGCAGG